UUCCAUGGAAUGCCCACAAGGAGGAGAUGAGUGUUGGAGCUCAUACAUGUCAUAAGGUAAGUAUGAGAACCAGAUAUUGUUUGUUUUUUUAUUAUUUUUUUUUUCCAAAAUUUUAAUGUUUCUUUUUAACAGUGUGGCGAAGAGGGCUACAUAGCAAGGGAUUGUCCACAAGGAGGAGGCAGUGGUGACAGCAAGUAUUACAAUUGUCAUGAAGCUGGCCACACCUCGAAAGACUGUCGAAACUACUCGGUGAAUUGAUUGAAGAUGGAAAGCUGUGUGAACAAUACAUUCUGGAAGCUGUGACAUGCAAUGAAAAGGAACUGUUUAAGGGCAUCAUCUGUGGGGAAGGCUUUAACAAUUUUGGUGAAGUCAUUCUCCUGGUUACAGGAAAAGAUGUACUUUAAUACAUAACAUCAUUCGAACAAGCCGGCCCGCGCCCACUACUACUUCAGAACAUUAAGAAUUCUGCAUACGUAAAACUAACACCUGUACAAAAAGCUUCAGAUGCAGUUACUCUUGCCAAGAGAGAUUUGUUUGCUUGUGCAUCAUUUUGGUUAA